AGCUACGAUCAUACUAGCGUUAAUGCAUCGGAUCCCAUCACAACUCCGCAGUUAAGCACGCUUGGGCUAGAUUAGUACUGGGAUGGGUGACCUCCUGGGAAGUCCUAGUGUUCCAUCCU
rfam:Picea glauca, whole genome shotgun sequence.